rnacentral:rRNA from 1 species
UACAGAGGUCCCAAGCGUUGUUCGGAUUCACUGGGCGUAAAGGGUGCGUAGGUGGUGAGGUAAGUCGGAUGUGAAAUCUCCGAACUCAACUCGGAAAUGGCAUUGGAAACUACCUUGCUCGAGGGUUGGAGGGGGGACUGGAAUGCUUGGUGUAGCAGUGAAAUGCGUAGAUAUCAAGCGGAACACCAGUGGCGAAGGCGAGUCCCUGGACAACUCCUGACACUGAGGCACGAAAGCUAGGGGAGCAAACAGG